rnacentral:lncRNA from 1 species
UCAAAAAGAUUAAUUUGUAGUUGGUUGGUUAGGGUUUAGGGAGGGUUUGUUGGUUGGUUCAUGUGUGGUAUUGAAUCAUAUUUGUUGUUAUUUUCAUUAAGAAAUAUUUGAUUUUGUGUUGUGGUUGCAGAUACAAAUAUAAUGCCUCCUGUCAAAAGAAAAAUUGUAUCAACAACUGACACAAAGAUUCAUAAGAGGCCUAGGACUAAAUCUUGUAGGAAGAAGAAUGAAAAUUUGACUUCCACUCUUUUAGAAGAACUUGCAUCUGAAACAGUUUC